CUUCCUCCCCAACGUCUCUCUCUCUCUCAAACUUCUUCUCUCUCUCUCGCCUCUGCCGGAAACGGCUGCCACCGCCGGUUACGCCGGCGCUGCUCCGGUCACUGCCGUUUUCAUUGCUCGGAAAAAAUUAGAAGGAAUAGAAAACACGUUAAAGAGGACGGAGAAGUGUCGUCCUUUCGCCGGAUUUCGCCAUCACUGUCGGGCCGCCGCCGCCGCCGCCACUGAGCUGCCGUCGCCGCCGCCGAUCUGCCGGAGAGCAGAAUUCUAGCCAAGGACAUGGUUUGGGAGAGAAAGUGGGCAUUCAAGAAUAAGGAAUGGCUAUCCGAGAAGCUGCUAUUGUAUAGUACUAAAUACUAGAGAGUUGAUAAUUAUAUUCACAUGUAUUGCUACUUUAUUUACUCAUGUUAAAGAGCAUUAUCUCAUAUAUGUACAUGGACACUUAAUAUUCUUCUACUAUACUUGCUCUUGCAUAAAUCA